GACGGCGUGUGCUCUAGCAACUCCAGCCUGUUCCGGAGGCGGAGGGUGGCGGGCUUGUACGUCAAUGGUGUUGACGACGAGGUAUUAUCGCAAUUGAGCCAGAUGGGCGGUGGGCUGGUGCGUGGGCACCCCAAGGAGUACCUCCGGGCCGAGGUGCGAGCCUUGGCCGUGUUUGCCAGUAAAUGCUCCCGUACUCAACAAUUCAACAUCAUCCCAUGGACUACACAUCGACAUAUGCUCAAUUUUGCUGGCAAAAGAUUUCGGGCCACCCAGCUCUCCCCAACUCCACGAGAUGGAGAGGAGCAUCGCAAUUUCUACCCAAUCGACUCGAAAGGAGGCUUUGAGAGGACUUGGUUAUUAUCAGUGACACUCAAUUUAUAUAUUGGCUCAAUGUGUUCAUGAGCUUCGUACGAGGUAAACGCGGCCGUGCCUGGCUGGAUCAUGUCUGACAUUACUGUGAAACUAGGUGAUGGCAUCGAGAGAAAGGCGCUCCAGACAGUACCAUUAGGUAAGUGAUAAUAAACUCUGCAAUUAUUUGUAAUUUCUUUUGAACUUCGAUUUUGUUUUAUUGCUUGUUCUGCUGGUGCUUCUGAUGGAUAUUCUAGGAUGGUUCGACAAGCCAGAAGAGAUCGAUGGUCUGGUUGAGUUCCUGGCUGUUCAUCCAAUACCUGACCGGGCAAUACCAUGUUGCUAGCUAUGCCUGGGUCAAUAAUUAGUUUUAUUAUUGAGGUACAUUUUUAACGACAUUGAUGAUAUGUUUAUUUUGUUCAUACAAAUCUGGAUGAGGUGACAUUUUGGAUGUACAAAUAUGAUUAAUUAGCCAUCGAUCGUGUAUACAUAAAAAAAAUCUGAUCUAGCAUUGUUCUGGUAGAGUUGCUUAAUCUUGUCACUGAAUUCUGUAGUUGCUUUUGGCUGAGAGCUGUAUGAUGUAUUGUUACUACACUAAUGUCCCAAAUCUACUUUGGUGGAUAAAUAAAAAAUAUUUAUGUCAGCAGCAGUAUGUCGUUCCAUUUGGUCUAUGCAUGUAGCCGACUAUUGUAAUUAGCUUUUCGUUAGUAGGGUUUCAGUUUUUUCUGCUUGGUGGAUGGCAAAGUAACACCUACUUCGACUUGGGCUUGUCGAGUCAAUGCUAAGAAUACAGGUGGCAUACUAAUCCGUGUCUGCUACCUAUCAUUCUUUGUCCCUUUGUUUUCUUUUCCUCAUUGUUUCAAGUUUAGGUUCCGGCAUGUAGAUAUGGUCCCCUAUCUUCAUCCCUUGAUCUAGGCAUGAGUCUUCAGGUUUGCAUCUCCUCAACGCUUCCCUCAGAUCCUCUCUGAAUCUUGAUGUUUCCCUCCUGAUUUAGUUCUAAAUCUAUG